UUUUUAAAUGGCGAAAUCUCUAUUCAGAAGUAGUGGCGGAUACAAUGUGUCCGAUAUUUUGGAGUGAAGAAUCGCCAAAGUUUGGCCCAAAUCCUCGACUUAUCAACCUGGUCGUUGUCCUCUUGUUGAUACGGUCGAUUGGAUAUAAAACAAAUUCAAUUGUUAUCUGCGGAUCUUUCGACCUGUUUUAAGUUCGAAUGGCGUUAGAGACUUGACAGUGCGAAGACAAAAACAAAUUUGAAACCAUCCUUUAAAAAAGACUUAAUUAUGUAAAUUUGUAGACAUCUUUAAGAUUGUUUUGCCAUGAGAUGACCUGAAAAUAAGUCAAAAGCUCAGCAGGGAGAAGGGAAUUUGUUUUUCAUCCAACUGACCGACCGAAGAUCCAGAUUAUUUUCGAGGCAAAAGUAACAGUAAUGGAAGAGACAACACUUCACUUUAGCACAUUAUACGAAGCAGUAGUUGGCUCGUUUGAAGUUUUGGUGAGGCCUUUGGAUAUGAUCUGCCCGCUGCUUAAUUGUGCUGAUUUGGGCUGUAGCUGCACUGGUUCAGAAAAUUUACGAGAAGAUUGAUCGGGCAUCAAGCAGUUGUUCAGUAAACGACUUCACAAACUUCUUCUCUAGUCAUUGCUGUCAAUCUUGGAUAAUAGACUAAAUAUUAAGUUGACCAUGUGUAAAGACCGGUUUUCUUGAUGUGCCAUGCGUGGAUCGCAGCGUCUUCAAAGAAGUCAUGGUAUGGCAGAAUUAACGACUAAUUAACAUACAGCAUGAAUCUUUGAUUGUACUAAGGUUCAUUGAGGAAGUUAUUCUGGAUGCUGUGGUCCGAUUCGCUCCAUUUAUUUGGGACAAUUUCCUGUUAACGCUUGAUAAUGGUCCACCGCAUGUAACACACAUGAGUUAUCACCUAUUACUUGGAGGUUGUAGGGAUUCCAACGAUGAAUUGACCAGCACGUUAUCCUGGCAUGAAUCCCACAGAACAAUUAUGAGACGUGGUAGAGAGACUGGUUAGACACAUUUCGCCUCCAACAAGCGUUGAACACCUUCAAACCUCACUUGUUGAAGAAUGGGAUUAUUUUUAACAAGACGAAAUCAUCGAUCACUUAUUUCCUCGAUGCCUACUAGGACACUUAAGGCCCUCUGCGAGACCAAAGGAUGUAAUACGGGUUAUUAAGAGCAAAACCAGGAAAUAAAUUGACAAUUCGGUUUUAAUCUUUCCCCUGAGUUGUAGUACAUUUUCUAUCCAACCACAUUAUUAAAUAAUUUUCAUUAAAUUAAUUACAAAUUUCUGAUCUCGUUUAAUUUGUUUUCAUUAAAAUAAGAAGUGUUGCAUGGGGUUCUUAAAGAAAAUGCAUUUUGAAUAUUUUAUAUGUUACAACACCCUACUUAAAAUAAUUUUACAUAUCCACCUCUUGCAUGAUUC